rnacentral:rRNA from 1 species
UGCAAGUCGAACGCGGAAGUCCUUCGGGAUGAGUAGAGUGGCGGACGGGUGAGUAACGCGUAGGAAUCUGUCCGGUAGUGGGGGAUAACGUUCCGAAAGGAACGCUAAUACCGCAUACGCCCCACGGGGGAAAGGGGGGGAUCCUUCGGGACCUCCCGCUAUCGGAGGAGCCUGCGUCGGAUUAGCUAGUUGGUAGGGUAAAGGCCUACCAAGGCGACGAUCCGUAGCUGGUCUGAGAGGAUGAUCAGCCACACCGGAACUGAGACACGGUCCGGACUCCUACGGGAGGCAGCAGUGGGGAAUAUUGCGCAAUGGGCGAAAGCCUGACGCAGCCAUGCCGCGUGUGUGAAGAAGGCCUUCGGGUUGUAAAGCACUUUCAGUGGGGAGGAAAGGGGGAUGGCUAAUAUCCAUCGGCGGUGGCGCUACCCACAGAAGAAGCACCGGCUAAUUCCGUGCCAGCAGCCGCGGUAAUACGGAAGGUGCAAGCGUUAAUCGGAAUUACUGGGCGUAAAGCGCGCGUAGGCGGCUUGGUAAGUCGGGUGUGAAAGCCCCGGGCUCAACCUGGGAACGGCACUCGAUACUGCUGGGCUGGAGUACGAGAGAGGGGGGUGGAAUUCCAGGUGUAGCGGUGAAAUGCGUAGAGAUCUGGAGGAACACCGGUGGCGAAGGCGGCCUCCUGGCUCGAUACUGACGCUGAGGU